rnacentral:tRNA from 1 species
GGAUAUAGCUCAGUGGUAGAGCACAUGCUUAGCAUGCAUGAGGUCCUGGGUUCAAUCCCCAUUACCUCCA